AUACGGAGGAUCCGAGCGUUAUCCGGAUUUAUUGGGUUUAAAGGGUGCGUAGGUGGAUUGAUAAGUCAGCGGUGAAAUCCCGGAGCUCAACUCCGGAACUGCCGUUGAAACUGUUAGUCUUGAGUGUGAACGAGGUAGGCGGAAUUCGUAGUGUAGCGGUGAAAUGCAUAGAUAUUACGAAGAACACCGAUAGCGCAGGCAGCUUACCAGGCCACAACUGACACUGAUGCACGAAAGUGUGGGUAUCAAACAGGAUUAGAUACCCUGGUAGUCCACACAGUAAACGAUGAAUACUAACUGUUUGCGAUAUACAGUAAGCGGUACAGCGAAAGCGUUAAGUAUUCCACCUGGGGAGUACGCCGGCAACGGUGAAACUCAAAGGAAUUGACGGGG
rnacentral:rRNA from 1 species